rnacentral:rRNA from 1 species
GUCUUUUUGAAAUAAUUUAAAGUCUAAUCUGCCCACUGAUAGAAAAUUAAAGGGCUGCAGUAUAAUGACUGUACAAAGGUAGCAUAAUCAGUAGUUUUUUAAUUGAAAACUUGUAUGAAAGAUUUGAUGAAAUAUAGACUGUCUCUAAUUUAUAGAUUGAAUUUUAUUUUUUAGUAAAAAAGCUAAAAUAAAUUUAAAAGACGAGAAGACCCUAUAGAGUUUUAUAUUUAAUUUUAUUUUAAAAUUAUAUAAAAAUUAAUAUUAAAAAUAAAAUUAAAUAUUAUAUUGGGGUGAUAGAAAAAUUAAAUUAACUUUUUUUAAAAAUUAAACAUAAAUAAAUGAUUAUAUGAUCCAUAGAUAAUGAUUAUAAGAAAAAAUUACCUUAGG